UUGGCUUCAUAGUAUUUUUUUGAAUAAAUUAUAUUUUUAAUUUUUAAAUUAAAUUAAUUUUUUUAAUAAUUUUUAAAUUAUAAAAUUUUAAAUUUUAAUUUCUAUACUUUUUGAACUAUUUUAAUGUAAUCUUUUUCUUAGAUUUUGAAUAUUUUUUUCUCAUCGAAAUUCUUAACUGACAAUAACCGGUGCUUUUUGAACUAUCUGGCG
rnacentral:lncRNA from 1 species